GAAAUAAUUCCAAUCGCUAGAAACAAAGAAUUCUUAAAAAUGAUGAGGUUCCAGACCAUAUUCUUGUUGAUGGCAUUGACCACAAUGACAGUAACUGCCUAUUCACCAACAGAAAAGCAUGCAUUAGACAAACAUGGAGUGAAGAAGAUUUUACAGGUCGAAAACACAGUUGGGAGAGACAUAAACGGGCGUAGUGGUGCUGGAUCCCUUUCUG